ACUGUGCUGUUUGUGGCAGGAAACUCCUCAGCCAACUAUGGAAAAGAACCCAGAAGGCAGUACGAAUGUCUUGUGCUCUCUUUGUUUUUUUUUUUUUUGUAUAAAUUAACCCAUUUGUUUCCCUUCUUGGUAGUUUUAUUUGGGGUUUUACUUACUGUUUCAACCUGUCCUGAUUUCGUUUGGGUUUUGUAAUGAAAGAUUACGAGGAAGCUGUAAAGGAUGAGCAAAGAGAAGGGCUUUGCAAGGGAGCUUGUGAGUAGUGAGUACAAGCCAUCUGAACGCAUCUCUGAUCGCCUGCGCCCUCACAUACUCAACAUUGACUGUUAUCUAAUGGUUUCACAUAUGGAUCCCAUGCUACUCGUCGUAGUACUCGAAGCGGUUUUGAAAUAUAUGCUCCGGAUGCAACCUUCAAAGAUCCACAUGUGUGCUCGUGGGUACAUACGGUAAUAGAAUGUGAGUGUAUGUUUUGGGGUCUGGUGUGGCUAGUGUCUGAUUUUGCGUUUGGUGUCGAAGUUGAGUAUUAUUUGAGUCUAAGUGUGGGGUGUAAUGUCUGGUUUUCUAGAUUGGGAGUCUUGGGGUAUUCUCUAAAGUGGGAUUUAGUUUUGUGUUGGGGCUUCUAUUCAAAACCAGAAGCACCUGCAGAUGCUGAUUUUGGUAUAUCAUGAAGUAGCUGAUGGUGGGGCUUGUAGGCCCUUGAUGCUUCUUAAAAUUGGGAGUUAGGUAGACACAGGGAAGUAGAAGACUCAUAUUCGAGGACAUUGAUGCCACAUAGUAUAGAGAUCAAUGCUUUCCUUGGAUUGAAGAUCUGUCUUGAGGCCAACUGAUUUGGAUGGGAUCAUUGCAAAAGUAGAGGAUUUUUUUUUGCAAUGAAGUCACAAACACUACGUCGAUGCUAACUCUUGUACAAUUAAUGUUCCCUCCCUACUUAACACGUUUUGUGAAUAUGGAAUGUUUUGUUGCUAUCAUUCUCUUCAUGUUUAUAUAACCCUCAUGGCUACCAGACUUACAUCAUAUAACUUAUGCUAUGCUUUCUGAUCUUGUCGGGGAAAAACAUGACCUCAAGCCAGCUCCUUUUGAACCUAAUGUGAUAUAUGGUUAUGGUUUUCCUUCAGGAACCACUUUAUGUUCAUGGUUGCAUUAGUAGCUAUAUCAACUUAAUUUGCAAUGUUAUUCCCCUAGAUUUCGCAUACCCUUUUCCCUCCUUCUGCGUUUGUGUUAAUAGUUAAGGUUCCUAAAUCCAUUGGUUAGCAAUUAUGCUUUUGUCAUGGCAAUCAACAUUUAGCCAUCCCAUACAAUAUACCCAAUAUAUUUUGCUCCAAAUCAACAGGCAUGACAUUCGUGCCUUCCCUUUUCUUCGUAUAUUGUAUCAUACUUGUGGGCUCAUCUCAAUCACUUGAUAACUAACUUUCGUUUUUCCCCUUUCCAGGUAUGAUUUGGUGAUUUUAUGGUAGUUUGAAUGGAGAUCCUUUUCGUGGUAUAUUCUCUUUUCCACAUUUUUCCCUUCUCGCACCGAGUAUUGGCUUAGUUGAUACUCCUACUUUUUAAGUUUUCCUUUUGGCUUUGCCCUUGAGCAUUGGCCAAAGUCACCACAAAUAUUUGUUGCUAUCCUAAAUAAGAGGUGUGGUAGAAAAAUCCGUUCCAUUGCGUAGUUCUCCUUUUUAUCAUAUAUCCCUUCGAGAUAAAAA